CGUAGGUGGCAAGCGUUGUCCGGAUUUAUUGGGUUUAAAGGGUGCGUAGGCGGUCUUUUAAGUCAGUGCUGAAAUACUCCAGCUUAACUGGAGGGGUGGCAUUGAUACUGGGAGACUUGAGUGUAGUCGAGGUAGGCGGAAUUGACGGUGUAGCGGUGAAAUGCUUAGAUAUCGUCAAGAACACCGAUAGUGAAGACAGCUUACUAGGCUACAACUGACGCUGAGGCACGAAAGUGUGGGGAUCAAACAGGAUUAGAUACCCUGGUAGUCCACACUGUAGACGUUGAUGACUCGCUGUGUGCGAUAUACAGUACGCGGCUAAGCGAAAGCGAUAAGUCAUCCACCUGGGGAGUACGCCGGCAACGGUG
rnacentral:rRNA from 1 species